GACGCUGGCGGCGCGCUUAACACAUGCAAGUCGAGCGAUGAAACUUUAACAGAACCCUUCGGGGCGAAGAUAAAGUGGAUUAGCGGCGGACGGGUGAGUAACACGUGAGUAACCUGCCUUAGACAUUGGGAUAGCCUCGGGAAACCGGGAUUAAUACCAAAUAAAAUCAUAAUGACACAUGUCAUAACGAUCAAAACUCCGGUGGUCUAAGAUGGACUCGCGUCCCAUUAGCUAGUUGGUAGAGUAAAAGCCUACCAAGGCGACGAUGGGUAGCCGGCCUGAGAGGGUGAACGGCCACAUUGGAACUGAGAAACGGUCCAAACUCCUACGGGAGGCAGCAGUGGGGAAUAUUGCACAAUGGAGGGAACUCUGAUGCAGCGACGCCGCGUGAACGAAGAAGGCUUUCGAGUCGUAAAGUUCUUUUAUAUGGGAAGAUAAUGACGGUACCAUAAGAAAAAGCCCCGGCUAACUACGUGCCAGCAGCCGCGGUAAUACGUAGGGGGCUAGCGUUGUCCGGAAUCACUGGGCGUAAAGGGUUCGCAGGCGGAAAUGCAAGUCAGAUGUAAAAGGCAGUAGCUUAACUACUGUAAGCAUUUGAAACUGCAUAUCUUGAGAAGAGUAGAGGUAAGUGGAAUUUUUAGUGUAGCGGUGAAAUGCGUAGAUAUUAAAAAGAAUACCGGUGGCGAAGGCGACUUACUGGGCUCAUUCUGACGCUGAGGAACGAAAGCGUGGGUAGCAAACAGGAUUAGAUACCCUGGUAGUCCACGCUGUAAACGAUGAGUGCUAGGUGUCGGCGAAUGUCGGUGCCGCAGUUAACACAAUAAGCACUCCGCCU
rnacentral:rRNA from 1 species